GAAAUGCGAUACGUAAUGCGAAUUGCAGAAUUCAGUGAAUCAUCAAAUCUUUGAACGCAAAUUGCGCUCUCGGGUACCCCUGGGAGCACGCCUCUUUGAGUAUCGGUUCUACCUCAUCUCGACAGCGUACUGUAACAAGUAUUGUGUAGUCGGAAAAUGAGUUGUCUCAGUUAACUUUGAGUUUUUCACAAGACUCGUGAGUCAUUCUGAGUCACUUUAAAAUCAGAGAAGAAUUGACCUUCCCACUAAAUUGGGGGAUGACGCAAGAUAAUUCACUCUUCGAGUGUUUAAACCUUCGUCGCUCCUAAGGGAAGUGAUGUUUUGAUCCAGGAAUUUCCAUCAAAUUUCACGCAAGUGAAAUGUACCGGAAACACCACCUCAGAAUAAGAUCUCAGAUGAA
rnacentral:misc_RNA from 1 species